GGAAUAUAAGAACCCGAUUCUUAAUUUUUAACUAAAAAACUAAGAACCGGCUCUUAAAUAAGAGUUUUAAGAGACGUUUCUUAAUUUUUUUAGUUAAAAAUUAAGAGACGGGUUCUUAUAUUCC
rfam:Brassica napus, WGS project CCCW01000000 data, contig: 29065